rnacentral:rRNA from 1 species
UAACGCGAAGAACCUUACCAAGGCUUGACAUUUACGAGAACGCUGCAGAAAUGUAGAACUCUUUGGACACUCGUAAACAGGUGGUGCAUGGUUGUCGUCAGCUCGUGUCGUGAGAUGUUGGGUUAAGUCCCGCAACGAGCGCAACCCUCGUUCUAUGUUGCCAGCGCGUUAUGGCGGGAACUCAUAGGAGACUGCCGGGGUCAACUCGGAGGAAGGUGGGGAUGACGUCAAAUCAUCAUGCCCCUUAUGUCUUGGGCUUCACGCAUGCUACAAUGGCCGGUACAAAGGGCUGCAAUACCGUAAGGUGGAGCGAAUCCCAAAAAGCCGGUCUCAGUUCGGAUUGAGGUCUGCAACUCGACCUCAUGAAGUCGGAGUCGCUAGUAAUCGUGGAUCAGCAACGCCACGGUGAAUACGUUCCCGGGUCUUGUACACACCGA